rnacentral:rRNA from 1 species
CCUACGUGGGGCAGCAGUGAGGAAUAUUGGUCAAUGGUCGGGAGACUGAACCAGCCAAGCCGCGUGAGGGAUGAAGGUACAGAGUAUCGUAAACCUCUUUUGUCAGGGAACAAAGGCGGGGACGUGUCCCCGGAUGAGUGUACCUGAAGAACAAGCAUCGGCUAACUCCGUGCCAGCAGCCGCGGUAAUACGGAGGAGGCGAGCGUUAUCCGGAUUUAUGGGGUUUAAAGGGUGCGAAGACGGUCUGUUAAGUCAGCGGUCAAAGCCCGGGGCCCACCCCCGCCCCGCCGUUGAAACCGGCAGUCUCGAGUUGGAGAGAAGUAUGCGGAAUGCGCGGUGUAGCGGUGAAAUGCAUAGAUAUCGCGCAGAACUCCGAUUGCGAAGGCAGCAUGCCGGCUCCACACUGACGCUGAGGCACGAAAGCGUGGGUAUCGAACAGGAUUAGAUACCCCAGUAGUC